GUGGAAAGAAGCUCUGGUUAUAUGGAUAGGAGAGAACACUUGUUGUCUAGAUACCCCUAGUUCAUAGAUUCAUUGUUGUUUUUUGUUGAUUUUCUGAUCCACUCGUCUUUCUGAUUAUUUCCUUGUAGGUGUUCUGGUACACAGUUGUAAUUUUGACCAUGGACUUUGUGGAUGGAUCAGGGAGAAAGACAAUGACUUGCACUGGGAACCAAUCAGGGACCCAGCAGGUGGACAAUAUCUGACAGUGUCGGCAGCCAAAGCCCCAGGGGGAAAAGCUGCACGCUUGGUGCUACCUCUCGGCCGCCUCAUGCAUUCAGGGGACCUGUGCCUGUCAUUCAGGCACAAGGUGACGGGGUUGCACUCUGGCACACUCCAGGUGUUUGUGAGAAAACACGGUGCCCAUGGAGCAGCCCUGUGGGGAAGAAAUGGUGGCCAUGGCUGGAGGCAAACACAGAUCACCUUGCGAGGGGCUGACAUCAAGAGCGUCAUCUUCAAAGGUGAAAAAAGGCGUGGUCACACUGGGGAGAUUGGAUUA
rnacentral:sRNA from 1 species